rnacentral:misc_RNA from 1 species
AUAGUGAAUUGGGUGAAUCGAUACAAAUUGACUGAUUUGGUUGAUUCUUUUCUAAAGGGUUGUUUGACCUUAUAGCUUCAAAAUUUAAGAUUUCAUUUUAUUUUUACUACGAGAAGUGCACAUUAAACCUUCUCUGAGCUAUUUUUCUUCCAUCAGCCAUUCUUUUCCCCCUCCCUUUUCUUUCUUUUUCCUUUUUUUAUUUUUGUUAAUUUACUCCUCUAAUUAUAGUUGUCAAAUUAUAACAUUUUAUAUUAAUAUAUUUUGAUAUUUUAAUUUAACCUGCU